rnacentral:rRNA from 1 species
UACGGGGGGGGCAAGCGUUGUUCGGAAUUACUGGGCGUAAAGGGCUCGUAGGCGGCCAACUAAGUCAGACGUGAAAUCCCUCGGCUUAACCGGGGAACUGCAUCUGAUACUGGAAGGCUUGAAUCCGGGAGAGGGAUGCGGAAUUCCAGGUGUAGCGGUGAAAUGCGUAGAUAUCUGGAGGAACACCGGUGGCGAAGGCGGCAUCCUGGACCGGCAUUGACGCUGAGGCGCGAAAGCGUGGGGAGCAAACAGG